AAAGCUGAUGUGGCAUCCGAGUUGGUAAAUAAUUUUUUUCAACUUAACAACAAAUCCACGUCACUAAAUAGAACACGUUGAAAACAUGUAUCUCGUCCUCUCUCUCAUCAACGUUGUUCUUUCUGAAAGUGGAAGGAAAAGAAUUAUAGAAAAAAAAAAGCUUUCAACCUCUAUCUGUAUCUCUUACUUUCUCUUGUCAUCCAUUGCUUUUGGAAUCGAAAAACUCUAAGGCACCCCCAGUUUUUGGUGAAGGAGUUUUGAAAAAUUUUCAAGAUCUAGAGAGUGAAGUGAAACAGUAAGAACAAAACAAAGUUGGUGGUGUUGCAGAGAUUUGGAAACUAGCCCAUCAUAUGUGUUGGUUUUGUAAAACUUUUACAAAGGCUGUAAAGGGUUGGUGGUGGGUUUGUUUCUCAAUUAAAGAGGAACAAAAGCGAAGAAGAAAAAUUUGGUGGGUCCACAUUCAAGGAUGGCUAUCCAAGGGGUUAGUGAAGGCUGUUAAGAAAUAUUUUAAAAUUUAUGAGCAUAGGCUCAUGAUGGAAAUAUUGAUGAUGACGCAAGGAACAUAUUUAUAAAACCUACUGAUUUAUCCAUUAGCGAUAAUCAAAGGAGUUCAACUUUUGAAGCUGUUAAACCAUACACUUCUGGAGGUUAAUAUGAAGCUCAGAGGCAAACUAGACAACCCAAAGACAAAGGAUUUAAGCAUGGAAAUCCAAGACGAAGAGAGGUGCCAUCAAGAUAUAUGCAACAAUUAAAAAAAAUCCAAGAACCGAUUUGAAGCCAUCUUUUUAUAUUUAUCAUAUUUUGUUUGUGGAUUAUGAGACAAAUUGAUAUAUUGUUUUAGGAUAGUUGAACUGUUAUUUUGUGUUUUUUGGUGUUUCAAAGUUGAAAGAGGUCUCUAAGUGCCAAUUGUUUCAGUUGUGAAACUAGGCAAUAAGAUUGCUCAUUUUGUAUUUCUUUUAAGAGGUAAAUUAAUAUUAUCUUUAUUUAA